GGUGCUACCACUUCAGUGUCCAGUGGGAUCAUUCACGUAAAUUAUUAUAAAAGGUGCACCCUUACCUGCAAACACCCGUGCCAGGCGCGCACUUGCCACAGGGGAGAGAAGCAACUCCAGGCCCCACAGCACACUGCUCUUCUAGUCUGUGUCGUUGAAGCCAGGAUCACCCAAGUUCCAACCCCUGCUGGACCACUUCUACCUCUGUGACCUCAGGAACCAAUAAAAAUGCAGGAAAAAAAACCCCUUGCUUUAAAGAAACCCAGUUUGUAGAAGCCUCUACUUCUGCAAAAACCACCUAAGGGGUGACUUCAAGAGAUCUAGGCUUUCAUUUGUUACAAAGCAGGUUUCCUCAGCGCCUUGAACAUCGUGCAUGAGACACACGGACUUCCUGGCGGGGACAGGCCCACGGUGAGAGAGGUCCAUCUGCCUCUCCCUCUGACAAGGGAUUUCUUCCGAGAAAGCGCCCCUCCCCAUGAGGUCCCGGAAGACAUGUUGACGACGGCAGGAUUAAGCCAGGCUGACAAUGGGAGGAUUAUUUCCUAACCUGGUGUGUGACAGACGCCUAUUAAUAUAUGAACCAGACAGACCCAUCUCCAUUUCCUGCCAAAGCCGGGGCGUCCAUGGGGUGACUGACGUCUCCUGCCCUGUCGCCUGCCCAGGCCCUGGGGAGAGUCCUGGGCUCAGCUGAGAACCCCGGGCAGAGGUGCCAGCAGAGGGGGUCGGGGCUCCAGCACCUGUCUCCCGGCAGUGCCCCUCGGGCUUUAUUCUUGGCGUUUCUACUGACAGAGGACAAAAGGGUUUCUUGUCAGACAAAACGCACACCGGGGAAGCGUGCCCAAGCCAUUUUUCUCAGGGAAGAAAAGAAGUUGUUGUUUGAAAACUUAACUGGCAUUGAGACCUCAGAGGCCUGGCUGGCCAGCUCUGGUUCUGAGCAGACCUACUUUUUCUGCUUUGAAAGUCCCGUUUCCUCCCGCACUUCCUGGCCAUGGAGCUCCAAGGAUGUCCCCCUGUGAGGUUUUAAGGCCUCGGUCACCACAAGCCUGAAGUCUCUUUGCUCUGUAGAAAAGAAGGAAAUAAUGCCGUUUGCAGCAACAUGGACAGACCCAGAGAUGAUCAUGCUAAGUAUGAAGUAAGAAAGGGGAAGACAAAUACCAUAGGAUAUCACUUAUCCUGCCAGGGAAAGUCACUCAGUCGUGUCCGACUCUUUGUGACCCCAUGGACUAUACAGUCCAUGGAAUUCUCCAGGCCAGAAUACUGGAGUGGGUAGCCUUUUCCUUUUCCAGGGGAUCUUCCAACCCAGGGAUCACUUAUAGGUGGAAUCUAAUUUUAAAAACACGACACUUUUUUUUUUUUUAAACAAAGGAGAAACACACAGAUCUCAAAAUCAAACUUAUGGUUACCAAAGGGGAAAUGUGCGAGGAAGUGAUGAGGUUGUGAUUGACAUAUACACACUACUAUAUUUAAAAUAAUCCACAGGGACUACUGCAGCGCACAGGAGCUCUACUCAAUAUUCUGUGAUAAUGUAUAUGAGAGAAAAACCUGAAAAAGAAUAGAUAUGUGUAUGCGUAUAGCUGAAUCACUUCAC
ensembl:lncRNA